rnacentral:tRNA from 1 species
GAGCAUGUACCCAAUGUUGGUAUAGGGAAUAGUCUGCAAAACUAUUUAACAGCGGUUCGAUUCCGCUCAUGCUCU